UGGGGCAGAGUCCAGGGCGGCUCAAGGCUCCUCCACACACGCCUGCUGAACCCUGAGCACCCUGAGCUGCCCGGAUGGGGCAGGCUGCGGCCGCCGCCAUGAUCCCAGGCCUGGCCCUGCUCUGGGCAGCAGUGCUGGGGGGUGCUGCCCCCAGCCCUCCCCGCCUUCGGCUCUCCUUCCAAGGUAGGUGCACCUGGCAGGCAAGAGGGCUUGGCUCAGGGUGAGCAGGAGAGAGACCCAGUGUGAGUAGGGGGCACUAAGUUUGCUGCUGCCCUGUGCCACUGGCCCAGGUUUGAGUGGGGGCACUUUCAGGCCACCUCCAGUUAACCCUGUCCUGGCCUCAGCCCCCAGCCUUUCUGCACACAUUCUCCUCUGACUUUCCCAGGAAGACCCCUUCUGUUCCCGUGGCAACAGAUCCUGCCUGUGUCCCAUCCACCACCCCCACACCCCUGACACAGAAGGGUGGUCACCAGGCAUCGCACUGAGCUUAGGCUAGUAGCAGGGUGGCAGAGAAUCCUCAGCCUGACUUUGGGGUGGGGGUCCUGGCUUUCCCUACAUACGCAGCCUCCCCCAACACCCGGCCUCCCAGUGCGCCCGCCUGCAGACACUGCUUGUCCAGGCAUGCCUGAGGAGUUCAACCUGCUUUUCCCUUGGGGGGGGGGGGGGAACGGUGCUGCAUUGCCCACUCUGGAAGCUUUUCACAUGGGUGGAUCUGUCUUCACGAAUGUAAACUCACACAUGGGUAAACUCACAUGUGUGGGCCAGGUCACAUAUACAACCAUCACCUGUGAGAGAGACGAUAGGUAGGGUCUGGGGAAAGCUCCCAGCAUGGCUGGCAAACACUACCCUGCAGAGCUCCAGGCCCAGCACGGUCUCCGGACCUUCAGGCUGGAGAGGACCUGCUGCUAUGAAGCUCUGCUGGUGGACGAGGAGAGAGGACGCCUGUUUGUGGGUGCCGAGAACCGCGUGGCCUCCCUCAGCCUGGACGACAUCAGCAAGCGGGCCAAGAAGGUGCCAGGGACCCCCAGCCUCUGUGCUCCCCAGGGGGGUGGGCCCCUGAGCAGACACCCUCUUCACAGAGACCAGGCAAAGGCCCUUGACCUGUGUCCCCCUUCCCUGACCCCCUCGCAGCUGGCCUGGCCGGCCCCUGUGGAAUGGCGAGAGGAGUGCAACUGGGCAGGGAAGGACAUUGGUGUGAGUGCCGGCCGCCCGGGGCGGGAAUGGGGAGGCCCGGCCCCUUGCUCCACAGACAGCAGAAGCCUGCCUCUUCUGUCUGGGAUGGGGGCAGGGGGUCGAGGUGGCUGAAGUUUAGAGGUAGUGAGUCAGGGUGGAGGCUCAUGUGAUUCUUCUUGGGGGCGUCUGAGUCAUAGGGGGCUGUACAGGCCUAUGCUUCUCCAUGCACCCCUUCUGUGAGAGGUGGGCUGAGCUGGUCACCAAGGGUGUCCGGGCUCCUGAAGCCCAUGUUGCUACUUGCCUGGACUGAUGCAGAAGAGAGGAAGGGGUGAGGUACCACUGGCGAGCUGGGACCCCUUAACGCUGCCUCCCUGGGGGAGGCCUCAUCGUCCCUGCCCCUGCCCGCCCACUAGACCGAGUGCAUGAACUUCGUGAAGUUGCUGCAUGCCUACAACCGCACCCACUUGCUGGCCUGUGGCACAGGGGCCUUCCACCCAACCUGUGCAUUUGUGGAGGUGGGCCACCGGCUGGAGGUAAGGCCAGAUCUAGGCAGAGAGGGAGGUUGGGAGGUAAAGAAGGGCCUGGAAGUAACAACUGCCCCCGGCCUCCCAGGAGCCCACGCUCCGGCUAGACCUUCGAAGGCUGGAGGAUGGCAAGGGCAAGAGUCCUUAUGACCCCAGGCAUCGGGCUGCCUCCGUGCUGGUGGGUGAGUCCAAUGGCUAGGGCCCUGCAGAGACUCUAGACCCUCCUGAGAGCCCCUGAGAGCCCCCAGGGCAUCACUGACUCCUUAAGAGCUCUUGGAACUCUACAAGGACUCCCCACAGAGAGCCUUCAGAUUGGCUAAGCAGCUCUUGCCCUAUCUGCAGGGAAAGAACUGUACUCAGGGGUGGCCGCAGACCUCAUGGGCCGGGACUUCACCAUCUUCCGCAGCCUGGGCCAGCGUCCAAGUCUGCGAACAGAACCACACGAUUCUCGCUGGCUCAACGGUGAAAGGCUGGUGGAGCUAUUGGGAGGGGGCUCUCAUCCCCAACAGGGUGGGUGCCUAGUAAGACCCAUAAAGGAAGUGAGCAGUGGGUGCAGCCAGGUCUCGCCAAGUACCCACCACGCAUCAAGCCCUGUGCUAGGGCCUGGGGCUGCAGGGCAGACAAGACCUGUGUGGCCCAUGCCCUCGUUGAGGUCACAGACCUCAGAACAGGUACAUAAUAAGAUGGUUCCAAUGGCAAUGAGACCAGUGAGUGAACAGACAGAAAGGGAAAAGGAGACCAGGUGGUAAGAGAACUGGAGACAGGAAGCCACUCUGCUGAGGACAGGGGAGAGCUAAUUCCCAAAGCACAGCAGGAUUGAGGGAAGAGCAUUCCAGGUAAAGAGAACAGCUAGUGCAAAGGCUCCAGGGCAGGAACAAGCCAAGGAACAGACUCAUGAAAAGAGAAAGGAUAAGGGGUCUGCAUUGUCAGAGGUCAGGGUCAUUUGUUCUAAGAGUGAGGGGACCCAGCAGAGUAUUCACAGCAGUAACAGGGGGAAUCUGCUUCCUGCUCAAGAGGAAGAUUCAUGAGUGAAGGUAAAACCCCAAUAUCCCAUCUCCCUCCUUUCUGGACCAAGGGCCUGGGGAACUGUCAGGGGCCGAGGGGAGAGGCCUGUGUGUCUAGGUAGUCUUGGUCUCUGCUGCCCUCUUGUGGUUACUUCUUGACUCACAGGCCCUGAUCCUCUGGAUGUUGUCCCCUUAGAGUGCCAUCCUACCUGGAGACCGGGUGGUCAGAUGCUGCCCCAUGGGCUUCUGGGGGCACCAGAGAAAGGAGAGGGAGCAUGUGGGUCUCAUGAGUGGCAGGGCCAGGACCUUUCUGACCCCACUCCUCCUGCUGCUAGAGCCCAAGUUCGUCAAGGUCUUUUGGAUCCCAGAGAGCGAGAAUCCUGAUGAUGACAAGAUCUACUUCUUCUUCCGUGAGUCGGCAGUGGAGGCUUCGCCAUCACUGGGACGCCAGACUGUGUCCCGGGUUGGCCAGAUCUGUCGGGUGAGGAGUCCUUGGGCCACAUCCGAUGACUACAUCCCUGCCCUUUUGCCUGUCUGGGCCUCCCCCUCAUCCCUGCUGAUUGACCCUGCAGAAUGACGUGGGAGGCCAGCGAAGCCUUGUCAACAAGUGGACCACGUUCCUGAAGGCGCGUCUGGUGUGCUCAGUGCCAGGUGUCGAGGGUGACACACACUUCGACCACCUCCGUGAGUGCCAGGAGCAGAGGAUGGGGUUGGAGAGAG
rnacentral:lncRNA from 1 species